UGAGAAGGAAAGAUCGAAGUGGUGACUUGGUCCACAAGGUUUUCAUUUCCAGUAGAAUUUAGAAAAUCAGAGCUUCUGAAGUGUCUCAGUGUCUGCGAGGGUUGAGCUGUCUGAGCCCUGGACCCCACUUCUGGUGUUGUGAGGUUUAAGAGGACAGGGGAAAGCCUUCCUCAGCGGGGAGGCUGCUUUUACCACAUUUAGUGCAUUCCCUCCCAGCCCUCAAGGCCAAGAAGGCUGGAGCAACACAAUUAUGAAUGGUUCCUGGUUAACUGGUUUAUUCUCCCUCACUGAAUGGGACAGGACUGUAGGGAGGCUUUUUGGCCCACCUACUAGCAAAACCUAGUUGAAAGAGUAGACAUGCCAGAUUUAGGAGUCAGGAAACCUGAGUUGGCCCCACUGUGCACCAAGUGGCCCUGAGCAAGCUGCUCGUCCCUGGGACCCACCUUUCUAGCAUCUAGGACUGAGCGGAAUGCCUGGUCUGGUUGCCAGCCAAGCUGCGGGAUGAGCUGUGUCCACUUGCAAGGCAGGCAGGGUGAGUGGCACUGAGACCAGGAGCCAUCUUCUCCUCAUUAAUUGAAUGCCUGCCCAAACUUCAUGCCCAGUAUGUAAACAGGUCAAAUGGCGGCACGCCUGUGAAAUACUCAGAUCUUGUCCCUCUCAGGUUUUCUCUACUUUUAAGUGAGUCAACGCCUUCCAAAUACCACCAAGGCCACUGUUGAUUAGUUUCUCAAAUGUCAUCUGUCACCCACACCCCAUCAUGUUGCAAAACCCAGUGGCACUCAGGACGCUGGCAUGCUGCCGGGCUUGGGCACCACGUAGGCCAGGGUCUGGUGAAGGGAGCCCUGGUGUGCAAGGCAGCGUGGGGGCCCUCCGGCCCUCCGUGUCACUGGCCCUAUUUGCGGAAAUCGCUGGGAAGCUGCUAAUCUGGAGGACGCAGGAUGCCCUGCAGUGUCAGAGAGAUGACUUUGGAUAAGCCACCUGCCGCAGGGAAGCAGAGUGUCGCCAGGUCUGCUCGGGCACCCAGAACCUGGCGGGGAGUGUGUAGCUGUGUCCCCUGGUCUGAGACCCAGAGUGGAGGGAGGCAAGCUGCAUUUCUUUCGUAUUUGUUGAAUACUUAGCACCUGUCAGGUGCUCGGGGUGGGGAGGCAAAAUGCCAGUGUCUUCAGUGUGUAAUUAAAGCCACGGGAGCAGGCGAGAUAAACUAGGGAAAGAGGACAUCAGCCCUAGGGCUUUCCCGACAUGGGCCCUGGCGACCUGGGGGCGCAGAGCUGGCCACCCUCCCAAGAGGAGCCAGGCGGGUGGGAGAAGGAAGAGGGGAGUUCGCGAAGGAGGGCGGGUGAGAGCUGGGAAGGCAGGAGGGUCAGGGAGGACUUCCCUUGGCUAAGGAGGGGCAAGCAGCUCUGGCGUGGAGACGGCAGCUUCCCCCGGACCGGUUCUGAGAAGGGAAGUGAUGGCAUUAUUCAGGAUCUAGAGGAGGGGGCCGUCUCAGGACAUGGGUCCACUUUCCUUGGUGACGAGGAGAAAGAGGUGGUGGUGGGUGUGGAGGGAGAGCCGGUCGCAACAUCGAAGCCUCUGUUGUCUGUCAAAUAGGCGAGAUCAUCUGAGCAGGGGGAAGAGAGAAGGGGUCCCAAAGCUUGAGGAGCAUGAAGGAGAUGUAAAAUCAAAGGGAAAUGACGAUUACAGAAGCCAGUAUAAUUCAUUACAGAAAGGUACUGGUCACCUUCCAGGUACCAGUCGCUGGUCCAAAUGCCUGUGAGAGCCAGAGCUGGUAGGUAGCAGCACUUCUCCCCCGGGUGUGAGUCCUCGGCCAGAGGGGAGGGGACUCCAGGGGACAGCAAGAUAGAGGGCACAGGUGGGCAGGAGAGGACUUGAGUGGAGAACCCUGGAGAGCACCCGGGGAAGAGAAGAGCACAUGACCUGAGUGGACCCCUGACCAGGGACAGGAGAGGCGAACUAUGCCUAGAGGCCAGAGAAGAAUCCAGCAGUAGUCAGACAAGCACGCGGAGGGGACAGGGGGUGGAGGUCAGAGGGUGGACUCUCAGAAGUUUGAAAGGCAUAUUCCAUGAUGACCAGUUCCCAGAAGGAGCCUGAGGGUGAAGGUCUUGGUUCUGAGAGACCAACAUGGACAGAUCUGCGGUCGCCCAAGGUGAUGGCAGACAGCCUCACCGUGAGUCCCGGGGACCAAGCAAGCAGGAGCAAGACGCCGAGUCCCUAAGGGGCGAGCACAGGCAGAGAGCCUGACCAGGUGGGGGGCGCCAAGGGAGUCAGCCUGCCUGAGGCCACACAGCUGGGGCCCCUGGAGCCAGGUCCCAGGCCCAGCUCGGCUUGGAGCCGUGCCCCGUGAGCACCUCGAGGGCCACAGAGAGGCUCACUGGGGCUGGCCCGAGUCAUGAGCCCUGCCUUGGCCAGACUAUUUCCCAAAUUCUUUGUCUCCUAAGAAUUCCCUUGGAAUUCUUGGAAGCAAUCAUCAUUUUUUACCUUCAUUUCCAUGCAGUCACAUGAAACCAAAACUUUGUCCAAAGGUUAUCAUGCAGAUAAACAGGGUGGCCCACCCCCACUAGACAAAUACACUCUGGGAGCUUGAAAGUGGGCAAGAUGCCUGUGUGUUUGCUGGGCCCCGAGCGGUGUGGCCUUGUCUUUAUCUGAAAAAGUGAGUCAAACACAAAGAUGCCUUGGCACAGCGGGGAAAAGUCCAAGGUUUCCUCCAGCCUGGAGGGCUGCCCACCCCACUCUUCUAACAGAGACUUUACAGAAACGUAAUCCAGGUGCAAAGGAGGGACCGUAUCUGACCAGCAGUUUUCUUGUUUAUCCCGUAAAGCGCAGCUGUGGUUCUCCUGGGGACAAGCGCAAGCUGUAGCCAUCUGACAGGAAGCAGCGUCAGCGUCCUACGGACAGGACGCUGUGAACCAAGGUACCUGCUCCUCUGUUGGUGGGUAUUUCACGACGGGCAGCAGGUCGGGCAUUUUGAUUCCGUGACACCCCCUUGUCGGGGGUGGUGAGUCAGCUGCUGGUGGGAGUGGCCAGGAACGCGCGGGUGGCCGCCGGUCUGUCUCCCAGCCUCCGGCGGGCUGCAAAAAGCCCUUCUCAGGGUCCCUCUCCUCCAGACAAAGCAGAACUAUGCUUAUUUCCUCCUCUUGCCGGUCAAGCCACAUUUUUCUUCUUGGAGUAAGAGGGGGAGCAGAGGACUGAGCCUUGCCAGCCUCCAGGGACCAGAGCUGGUGCGGGCAGCGGCCCAGCCUGGGGGGGCGCCUGACACUGGCUGCCCUCUCUCUGCCGCCCCUCGCUGUGGGAGUGUGCACACAACGCCUCCUCUCCCUGCUGCUUCCUCGCCUGUGAAUGGGCAGUGCGAGCCCUGCGCUGGGGCUGCUGGGACUAAGUGAGGGUGCUGGCUGGGCCUUCACCUGGGGCCCAGGGCCCGUGGCUGUGGUUGGUGCUGGCUGGCAUCGGAGUGCACCACCUCAGCAGCCUGGGCAUGGCACCCCCGACCCCACGGGCCUCCUCUUUCUCCUCUUCCCUCUGUCCGCUCCAACUGUCACCUGGUCAAACAGCCUUAAUCAGGAUCUUCUCCAACUCAGCUUCAAAAAUGCGAGGCCACUGGAGGAUCUCCACCGUUGACACGGACACAAACCGACUCCAGCUCUGCCUCGGGCCAGUGCCUGUUUGUCAGCUAAACAGAAGGUGCAGCUCUGUCCCCGUUCCUUUCCUGCUUCCACAGGCUUCUCUGGAUUCAUCUGCUCCCUUGACAGCCUUCCUUACUAGGCACAAAAUCGGUGCUGGACACCCAGAGCCACAGGGGCUACAGGGGUGACACCAACACAGGCCUUUGCUCAAAAAUGGCAAAUACAGAAUCAGCAAGAAGGCGGGAUAAAUGCUUGAAUGGACGCAUGUGAGGAGCUCGGAGGAGGACAGAGGAGGGGCCGCUUCUGCUGAGGAAUCAAGUCAGGCUGCAGCUGCCGCGUGCGAAGUCCUGGAGGCAAGGGAGAUCGGGAUGUCCUCUGGGAAGGGUGAGGAGAAGGUCCGGGUGGCCAAUCUAGAACGUUUAAAAAGGGGUAACAGGCGGGGACCAGUGUGCAGCUCUGAGGAGACGGGAUGGGCAUGUCGAUGUUUAGAGUUCUCCGCCCUGUGUUUCUCGUCUAAGAAAAGCCCAGAUGGAGGCAAUACUUUUCUUUGAAGAGGAUCCUGACAGUUAGUUCAUUGAAAAAUGCUGCACUGUUUAGUCAUAAAACUGGGCAACUCUGCUGAACAAUCUCGACAGAGGCCUCACCAUGGUCACUUUGAAUUGCUUGUGAUUUCAAAAUAAAACCGUGAUGCAAAAAAAAAAAAAGUCAGCCAGCUGCCAGGCCAGGAGGCGGCUGCUGUCGGCCUGCGAUAAGGCGCGUUCCUAAGCGGCAGACACUCGCCAAGGGACUGGCGCUGGCCUCUCUCCAGCCAGUGAACAGGGUAGGGGGAGCGCCAGGGGUGCUGCCUGCCCGUCCUCCGACCUGAGUCAGGUCCACCUCGCGGAGCUCCAGUAAAGGCUCCAAGUGUCUUCCUCGGGCCUUUGGGAAUACGGGGGGCUGGCACUUCCGGGAGGGCAGCCCUGAGGCCCAGACUGGGAUGGCAUCACCAGUGCCACACCAGGGCUCCACCACACUGGGCUGGGCUGGGGACCCCCUGGAGGCCCCGCCGCUGUGGCCUGAAGCAUGGGGGUGGGGCUGAUGAGUAGCCCCGGGGCUCCCUUGGGUUAGAAGGUCUUUGCCUGCUUCUCCCUCUGCAGGGACCCUCUCUCCGCCCCACCCCUUAGUCAUGGGGCUACUUCUCACCCCUCAAGUCUCAGUGCAGUGUCACCCCCAACCCCUCUCUGACCCCCAUCUUCUCUCUGCUCGGCCUGAGCCCUCCAGCCCCAUGGGGUCCUUGAGGCUCAGGAGCUAAGCCAGGCGGGCAAGGCUAAGCCACCAGCUGAGAGUGAGGUGCUGCCUCCUUGAGGCCCUCCAGCGUCCUACCCUCGCAGGUCGGUGGGGCAGGGUUCAGGCUGCCCCAGAAAGCCAAAGCCCAGGCUGCCACCAGGCAUGGGAGCCCUUGGGCAGGUCUCUCCUCCUCCCUCCCAGUGAAGUGAAGGCCCAGGAGGCCGUGCUGGGCAGGAUGCUGUGCCCAACCUGUGCCCAGCCCACCAAGGGACUCCCAGCAGAGAAGGGCCAUGGUGGGGAGCAGGGCCUGGGGUCUGGGAUGGGGAAGGCUGAUGGCCAGGGGGACGUGGGCAGGAUCAGCAGCCUCUCACUUCCACCUGCCGCUGCCACAGCUUCAUGCCCAGAGUGUGGCAGACCGGUGGGAACAUGCCAUCCUCUGGCGGGCCCUGCGCCCCACCUCCAGGCACAGGAGCUGCCACUUCCUGAGGGCUCCCACACAGCCCCGAGGCUGAGCCCCAGGAGCGCUGGGCUCGAGAACCCCGCCUCAUCCAGCCUCAGGGAACCUUCCAGCUCCACCCCAGUCCAGCCAGGAAAUACACAGAGGGACCUGAGGCCCAGGGGCAGGCCCAGGACGUGUGCUGAGCGGGGGCAGAGCAGGCAUGGGGCCCCACGUGGCUGACCGCUUUCCCGGUGGGUGAGAAGGAAGCAAAGUGAGCUGAGUGUCCCCGGCUGCCACCAGGAGAAAGAGUAAGGGGUGGGAGCAGGGAGACAUGAAGGACCUGGGGGCAGCCUUCCUCCCGUCUGUCAACCUGUCUGCCCUGGUGGUGCUUCAAUCCAGAGCCACCCAAUUCUGAAGUUGCCCCUUCCACCACCCAGUACCACGUGGACAGUGGCACAAGGAGGACUCAGCGGGGCAGCUGGGCGAGCCUCUGGCCCUGGGUCAGAGAAGAGGUGUACCCGGGCUGCCCUGGGGGCGAGCCAAGAGGUGUCAACCCAACCCCACCCCCGCCAUGCCAGGCAUUCUAGGCACUGGGUCAGAUAGAUGGCAGUGAGGUGGCGACUUGUUAUUGGCCACGUGGCUUCCAAAGAGGCCUUACUGUUUGCUGGAUUGAGAGGGUCAGGAUGGCUGACCUUGGACUCUGGCUAUGGGGAGCUACUGAGGACUGGUCUCUCUUCCUUCACCAGCUCAGCCACCCUCUGACCCAGUGCCUGCAGCCCUGCAAGGCCCCUCACUCUGACUUGAUGCACUCAUUCACUCCCCAGUCACUCACUCCUGGGUGUUUGCUGGGCACCCACUCUGUGCCAUGAUCUACAGUGGGCACCAGGGACGUCCCCCCUGCCC